AUGGACCCCAAACAGACCACCCUCCUGUGUCUUGUGCUCUGUCUGGGCCAGAGGAUUCAGGCACAGGAAGGGAGGUAUAUUAGCGAGCAUUUUUGGUGUUGAAGUUUGGGCUGCAAUCCGGUAAAUGAUGCUUCAGCACAACGGCCAGGGGACUUUCCCAUGCCUUUCAUAUCUGCCAAAUCGAGUCCUGUGAUUCCCUUGGAUGGAUCUGUGAAAAUCCAGUGCCAGGCCAUUCGUGAAGCUUACCUGACCCAGCUGAUGAUCAUAAAAAACUCCACGUACCGAGAGAUAGGCAGAAGACUGAAGUUUUGGAAUGAGACUGAUCCUGAGUUCGUCAUUGACCACAUGGACGCAAACAAGGCAGGGCGCUAUCAGUGCCAAUAUAGGAUAGGGCACUACAGAUUCCGGUACAGUGACACCCUGGAGCUGGUAGUGACAGACUCCAUCCACCAAGAUUACACGACGCAGAACUUGAUCCGCAUGGCCGUGGCAGGACUGGUCCUCGUGGCUCUCUUGGCCAUACUGGUUGAAAAUUGGCACAGCCAUACGGCACUGAACAAGGAAGCCUCGGCAGAUGUGGCUGAACCGAGCUGGAGCCAACAGAUGUGUCAGCCAGGAUUGACCUUUGCACGAACACCAAGUGUCUGCAAGUAA
rnacentral:misc_RNA from 1 species